UGGGGAAUCUUGCGCAAUGGGCGAAAGCCUGACGCAGCGACGCCGCGUGAGUGAUGAAGGCCUUCGGGUUGUAAAGCUCUGUGGGGAGAGACGAAUAAGUGUUGGCGAAUACCCAGCGCGAUGACGGUAUCUCCUUAGCAAGCACCGGCUAACUCUGUGCCAGCAGCCGCGGUAAGACAGAGGGUGCAAACGUUGUUCGGAAUUACUGGGCGUAAAGCGUGUGUAGGCGGCUUCGCAAGUCGGAUGUGAAAGCCCCGGGCUCAACCCGGGAAGUGCACUCGAUACUGCGGAGCUAGAGUGUCGGAGAGGUUGGUGGAAUUCUCGGUGUAGAGGUGAAAUUCGUAGAUAUCGAGAGGAACACCGGUGGCGAAGGCGGCCAACUGGACGAACACUGACGCUGAGACACGAAAGCGUGGGGAGCAAACAG
rnacentral:rRNA from 1 species